rnacentral:lncRNA from 1 species
CAUUUGAGUGCAUAGAUCUCAAGAUACUCAAUUCUUUGUCAUUCAUCUACCUGCAUAGCUAUUAAAGCACUCAAUCUAUUAGCAUUCAUCCAUUGGCAUAGAUCUCAAAGCACUUUGUCCAUGUGACUCUUUUCCUUCCCCUACAUUUCUUACCAAAAUAAGAGCCUUUUACUAAAUUAGUGAGAAAGUAGUAUGGACAUCUUAUAAAAGUUAUCAUAUGACCCGCAUAUGAUAAUAUUUGGAAUGGAGAGAGAUGACUGGACUAUGUUCGAAGUUUUGGUGGACACUUUUUAAACUUUUGGUGUUUAAUUGUAAAUAUCCCUAUUAUGGAGGGAAUCAACCAUCUGACCUUGGCCUCCCUUGCCUCGAGUAGAGGCCGAGCACUCAUCUCUGAUCCAUCACUAACAACUCAUAUAGAAGCUACAUCAGUACUAAACAACCUCCUCAGAUAUUGAAAAUGAAAGAUCGGAUGAUCAGAUUGUCUUGCCAAGAUGAUUCCCCAACAUCGAUUGCAUUUCGAUCCUAAGCUCGGAUGCACACCAACCCUAGGGUCAGACUCAUACUAACAAUACAAGAUGAAUUUUGAAUCAUCUGGCUGUUAAGAAGAGAAGAUUAACCCAACAAAAUCUCUCAGAAUCUUAGAUGAUUCCCUACAAUCUCAAGCAUAUGAGCUAAAAUCAUAUAUCUAGCACCCAUAAAUAAUACUUGUAACUAAUAACCACGACCCCUAGAUUAGUGGCACAGAUUCUCUGCUUCCAUUACUGAAUUUGGAGGUAAAGAAUAUUUACCUCUAUAUACAAGGCAGUAAAGGAGACCCUCAGGGUAAGUUCUCUAAGAAAACAAGAGCACUCUCUUUCUCUAAUUCUCUUUAUUCCACUAUUCUCAAGCUUUGGUUGAUUUAAGCAUAGGAGGGUCUCCCUGUCGGAGAAUCUCUGAUGAGUAUAGAUUUCUUUUAUGAUUUUUCAAGAAGAGCUAGCCCUCAAAAUGCCAUUAAACUCUAAAUCAAUAAGAGACCGAUCCUAUCCAUAAUAGCUAGGACAUCUGCAGCAACAGAUUGACAUUAGAGAAAGGACCUUACCUUUUCUUAGAAAAAAAGAGGAAAAUAGCGAGAAUGAGGGUGUAGAAUAAUUCCAUCAGUUGUCUCAAAAAAGUCAAUGGGAUGUACGUUCUAUAGAAGUAGUAGUAGCAGGACCCGCACAACCUACUAUGAUGAUAGAUCUAUAAUAGUUUGAUGCCUUGGUCCAAUAAGUCUAAAUAUUGACCACUACUAUACAACAGCUCCAAAAGCUAUCGGGAGGCAAUGAUCGUAGGAGCCUGUCCAUUAGGUGGCUCCAUCUUAGCAUAGCAGCUAAUUUUGCCCCAAAAGCCUGAAAUCGGCCCCCCCAGCAUUUCCACCAUUCUGCUCCC